rnacentral:rRNA from 1 species
UGGGGAAUAUUGGACAAUGGGCGCAAGCCUGAUCCAGCCAUGCCGCGUGAGUGAUGACGGCCUUAGGGUUGUAAAGCUCUUUCGCACGCGACGAUAAUGACGGUAGCGUGAGAAGAAGCCCCGGCUAACUUCGUGCCAGCAGCCGCGGUAAUACGAAGGGGGCUAGCGUUGUUCGGAAUCACUGGGCGUAAAGGGCGCGUAGGCGGCUUUGUAAAGUCGGGGGUGAAAGCCUGUGGCUCAACCACAGAAUUGCCUUCGAUACUGCAUGGCUUGAGACCGGAAGAGGUAAGUGGAACUGCGAGUGUAGAGGUGAAAUUCGUAGAUAUUCGCAAGAACACCAGUGGCGAAGGCGGCUUACUGGUCCGGUUCUGACGCUGAGGCGCGAAAAGCGUGGGGAGCAAAACAGGAUUAGAUACCCUGGUAGUCCACGCCGUAAAACGAUGAAUGCCAGCCGUUGGACAGCUCGCUGUUCAGUGGCGCAGCUAACGCUUUAAGCAUUCCGCCUGGGGAGUACGGUCGCAAGAUUAAAAA